AUUGAACGCUGGCGGCAGGCCUAACACAUGCAAGUCGAGCGGCAGCGGGAAAGUAGCUUGCUACUUUUGCCGGCGAGCGGCGGACGGGUGAGUAAUGCCUGGGGAUCUGCCCAGUCGAGGGGGAUAACAGUUGGAAACGACUGCUAAUACCGCAUACGCCCUACGGGGGAAAGGAGGGGACCUUCGGGCCUUUCGCGAUUGGAUGAACCCAGGUGGGAUUAGCUAGUUGGUGGGGUAAUGGCUCACCAAGGCGACGAUCCCUAGCUGGUCUGAGAGGAUGAUCAGCCACACUGGAACUGAGACACGGUCCAGACUCCUACGGGAGGCAGCAGUGGGGAAUAUUGCACAAUGGGGGAAACCCUGAUGCAGCCAUGCCGCGUGUGUGAAGAAGGCCUUCGGGUUGUAAAGCACUUUCAGCGAGGAGGAAAGGUUGGCAGCUAAUAUCUGUCAGCUGUGACGUUACUCGCAGAAGAAGCACCGGCUAACUCC
rnacentral:rRNA from 1 species